rnacentral:rRNA from 1 species
AUGAUUGUACUGAUCACUGAGUUAACUAUGUUUUUAGGAUUGGUUUCUUUUGUUUUAUCUUCUGGGCAAUCGUCGUUGCUAGUGACAUCAGGGUUGAAUAGGUUGACGACAACGCACUUGUUACUGAUGAACACAAUGAUUAAAGAGAACCAACCUGCUUCUGUUCAUUUCUGCUACACUGUUUCUACCUGUUUGCGUGUAGAACCAUUCUUGAGCCUGAAUGGUACUACUUUUCUUGUUUUUUGUCUUUUUUGUUCUUAUGAAAAAUCUUUUGUUCAUUUUAUUAUAUACAUGCUAGAGCACACCUCACGAGGAUCACCUUUGAAUCAUGCUAAGUUACGAAGUUGGCAAUACCUUUGA